UGUAUAUAUAGUGUGCUAUCAGACGGUAAGGGGUGUAUAUAUAGCGUGCUAUCAGACGGUAAGGGGUGUAUAUAUAGCGUGCUAUCAGACGGUAAGGGGUGUAUAUAUAGCGUGCUAUCAGACGGUAAGGGGUGUAUAUAUAGCGUGCUAUCAGACGGUAAGGGGUGUGUAUAUAUAGUGUGCUAUCAGACAGUAAGGGGUGUGUAUAUAUAGUGUGCUAUCAGACAGUAAUGGGUGUAUAUCAGACAGUAAGGGGUGUAUAUAUAGUGUGCUAUCAGACGGUAAGGGGUGUAUAUAUAGCGUGCUAUCAGACAGUAAGGGGUGUAUAUAUAUAGCGUGCUAUCAGACAGUAAGGGGUGUAUAUAUAGCGUGCUAUCAGACAGUAAGGGGUGUAUAUAUAACAUACAGCCUGUAAUGCAUUAAACAUGUAUUUUAAUA